UACGAAGGGGGCUAGCGUUGUUCGGAAUUACUGGGUGUAAAGGGUGCGUAGGCGGGAAGGCAAGUCAGAGGUGAAAUCUCACGGCUCAACCGUGAAACUGCCUUUGAUACUGCUUUUCUUGAGUUAGGGAGAGGUUGAUGGAAUUCCAGGUGUAGCGGUGAAAUGCGUAGAGAUCGGGAAGAACAUCGGUGGCGAAAGCGCUCUACUGGACCGCAACUGACACUCAGGGACGAAAGCUAGGGGAGCGAAUGGG
rnacentral:rRNA from 1 species